CUCAAACCCAAGGAAAGGAGGAGGGGUGGAGAUUUUCUGUUUGCAGUUCCUAGUCAUUGGGAACACCAACAGAUUCACUGGAUUUGCCCAGGGCCAAGAACUGUGCACAAAGAAGUUGCUGUUGUUGACUUGAAGAACCUCGAAUCAUCUAAAUGCAGAAGUUUCCAGUGUAGAAGAGUCAAAUGGCAAAUUGGAAUGGCACACCAACAGAUUCACCUUACCCCAAGGUCUGCGAAGGGGCCGUCGUACAGAGCCAGCUGUGCCACCCGACACCUGUCCCUGUUUGCCAGU